GACGUAGGGUGCGAGCGUUGUCCGGAAUUAUUGGGCGUAAAGGGCUCGUAGGCGGUUUGUCGCGUCGGGAGUGAAAACACCGGGCUUAACUCGGUGCUGGCUUUCGAUACGGGCAGACUAGAGGUAUUCAGGGGAGAACGGAAUUCCUGGUGUAGCGGUGAAAUGCGCAGAUAUCAGGAGGAACACCGGUGGCGAAGGCGGUUCUCUGGGAAUGUCCUGACGCUGAGGAGCGAAAGUGUGGGGAGCGAACAGG
rnacentral:rRNA from 1 species